GAUGAACGCUGGCGGCGCGCCUAACACAUGCAAGUCGAACGAGUAAAGCACCUUCGGGUGUGUAUAAAGUGGCGAACGGCUGAGUAACACGUGGGCAACCUGCCCCUUUCAUUGGGAUAGCCACGGGAAACCGUGGAUAAUACCGAAUACUUCGAGACUUCCGCAUGGAAGACUCGAGAAAGCUCCGGCGGAGAGGGAUGGGCCCGCGGCCUGUUAGCUUGUUGGUGGGGUAACGUCCUACCAAGGCAAUGAUGGGUAGCUGGGUUGAGAGACCGACCAGCCCGACUGGGCCUGGGCCGCGGCCCAGACUCCUCCGGGAGGCAGCGGUGGGGUAUCUUGCACUAUGGGCGAAAGCCUGAUGCAGCGACGCCGCGUGCGGGAUGAAGGCCUUCGGGUUGUAAACCGCUUUCAGCAGGGACGAGGCGAAAGUGACGGUACCUGCAGAAGAAGCCCCGGCUAACUACGUG
rnacentral:rRNA from 1 species